GGUGAGGACAUUUCUUCUCCACAUGAAUAAGGUGAAGAGGAACAGAAAAAGGAAAUGAACCUUCGUAACCAGAGUUGGAAGCCCAAGAUGGAAUAAUAGAAUGUGGAAAAGCCCAGAGCGGCUGCCGAGCUAAUGAAUUAAAGGAAAGACUCUGGGGCUGGGGAGGAACCUCCAGACCAAGAUGCCUGUGAGACACGCACUGUGAGCCGAGAGGAGUUUGCUGAGAUGAGAACUGGGCGGUUGGAGGGUCUGAGGGGCCAGAGUUCAUCUUCACUUCACAGAGCUGCACGCUCUACUGCCGAGAAACCGACCGACCGACAAAGCCGCCACUGCCUGCAUCCCGGCCUCCAGGCCCAGCAGCCACCACGGUCGCCUCGCCUGUGCGGCCUGGCCUGCUCGAGGGCCGUCCGAUCAUGUGGAUGGUGGAGCGAGCAGAGCCCCCGUCACGGCCACGUGUGCACCUGGGCAACCCUCACCUCGGUGGAGAACAUUCCAACACUCCCGAGCUCCUUGGUGCCUCUCCGCAGCUCCCCCCAGAUGUAGCCCCUGAACCCCAGGCCCACCAAGUGCAACCCUGACUUCCAGCUUCGUAGAUUACGCUUGCCUGCUCCUGAGCUUCACGCGUGGGUCCAGACGCGGUGUGUCGGGCUUCCUUCAUUCCACCUUGCCCUGCGACAGUCUCCAGCCGCAGCCCUGUGCCAGCAGUCCGCCGCGCUUCCUUGUUGGGGAACUCGCUCUCAAUUUCCUUAAAAAAAGGGGGGGAUCCCUGGGUGGCUGAGUGGUUUGGUGCCUGCCUUUGGCCCAGAGCGUGAUCCUGGAGACCUGGGAUCGAGUCCCGCGUCGGGCUCCCUGCAUGGAGCCUGCUUCUCCCUCCGCCUGUGUCUCUGCCUCUCUCUCUCAUAAAUAAAUAAAUAAAUCUUUAAAAAAAAAUAUAUAUA
rnacentral:lncRNA from 12 species